rnacentral:rRNA from 1 species
GACGAACGCUGGCGGCGUGCUUAACACAUGCAAGUCGAACGGUAAGGCCCUUCGGGGUACACGAGUGGCGAACGGGUGAGUAACACGUGGGUGAUCUGCCCUGCACUUCGGGAUAAGCCUGGGAAACUGGGUCUAAUACCGGAUAGGACCACUGCCUGCAUGGGUGGUGGUGGAAAGCUUUUGCGGUGUGGGAUGGGCCCGCGGCAUAUCAGCUUGUUGGUGGGGGGAGGGCCUACCAAGGCGACGACGGGUAGCCGGCCUGAGAGGGUGACCGGCCACACUGGGACUGAGAUACGGCCCAGACCCCUACGGGAGGCAGCAGGGGGAAAUAUUGCACAAGGGGCGCAAGCCUGAUGCAGCGACGCCGCGGGAGGGAUGACGGCCUUCGGGUUGUAACCCUCUUUCAGCACCGACGAAGCGCAAGUGACGGUAGGUGCAGAAGAAGGACCGGCCAACUCCGUGCCAGCAGCCGCGGUAA